rnacentral:lncRNA from 1 species
AUUUUGUCAUUUCAUUCUUCUUUUUAAUAUGCGUGAAAAGUUUAUCCUCAGACGGAAGAGGGAGUAUAAUAUUUCAAAAAGUUUGUCGUUUAUAACUUUCGAGGAGAAUAAAUUAUUUACUUUUCUAUAUUACUCCUACCUUCUCUCAUUGUCCCAAGAAAUUCUUUCCCUUAUAUUAAUAGUUUUCAAUUUUUCAUAAAG